UACAGAGGGUGCGAACGUUGCUCGGAAUUACUGGGCGUAAAGCGCGUGUAGGCGGGUUCGCAAGUCAGACGUGAAAUCCCCGGGCUCAACCCGGGAACUGCGUCUGAAACUGCGAGCCUUGAGUACCGGAGAGGGUGGCGGAAUUCCUGGUGUAGAGGUGAAAUUCGUAGAUAUCAGGAGGAACACCGGUGGCGAAGGCGGCCACCUGGACGGUAACUGACGCUGAGACGCGAAAGCGUGGGGAGCAAACAGG
rnacentral:rRNA from 1 species